CUUCACUUCACGUCUUCACCCUCAAAAAGAACAGAGCUCUUCCUCUUUCCCCCAAAAAAACCCCUAGCCUCCUCCACCGCCGCCGCCGUCCGUCGCGCCCAAAAGCUUCGUCUGUUCGUCGUGCUCCACCCCCUCUCCUCAUUCCCCUGUUCCUCGUCCGUUCUUCUCGCUGCUCAGUCGCGCUUUGCCCGCCGUCUCUCGUCGUGCUCGUCGCCUGGUCGCCGUCGUCCGUCGUGCUCGUCCCUCGAAGAGGCUCAAGAGGCAAAAAGCACUGCAGCAACUAAAAGGAAAACGAUAAUCCCUAGCAAGUAGGAAGAAGAAACGGGUUGUGAUGAAUCGGAAAUUAGGAGGAGGAAGGCAGCCCACAGGGACUCCAUCGCUGGCUUGGUCCUGUCUUGUCGUCGUCUGCUCUCUUCUUGGUGGUGCCUCUAUUGUCCAUAAUAUCUACAAACCCAAUCUUACAUUACCUCCGGUUGAUGAAAUUGGUGGGACCAAGCAGAAACUAGAUGAGAAAGAAUGAUCAUCUCUCUCUGUCGAUUCUGCUAUAUUGGUAUGAAGAUGACCGAAAUUUUUGGGCCCAAAGUUGCUUUUUGUGCCAGUAAGCCUGAGAUACAAUUGUUCUCUUUAUAUUGUUUCUUUUUUUUUUUAAUUGUAUUAGUUUGAUGGAGAAGCUUCAUUUAUCUUAAUCUUGUUUCUAAGGAGCGUGGAUUAAUGUGUUAAGGAUGAGCACUGCUCUGCCCUGACCAUAAAGCAAGGAAGUUUACAGGAGCAUUACAAUGUAUUUUAGAGCCUGAUCUAUAUUUAAAAAGAAAUAAGCAUUCUUCUUGUUUUGAUUC